AAGUCGUAACAAGGUAACCGUAGGUGAACCUGCGGUUGGAUCAUUAAUAAAUAUAGAAGGUCUUAAAGACCUUUCUAACAUCUUGUGAAUCGUUCAUGUCUCUGGUAGGCUUCCGUCUGCCGCUUACACUUUGUAUUAUAAUAUAGUCUAAAAAUCUAAAAAAAGUAAUUAAAACAACUUUUGACAACGGAUCUCUAGGCUCUC
rnacentral:misc_RNA from 1 species